UGCAGCCUUGUCAAAUUUGGGCCCUUGGCUGCCACAAAAACUGCAGUUCAUGGGCCCCAGGUUUUUGUGGUGACUGGGGAAACAGCCAGCUACAACAUUA